rnacentral:rRNA from 1 species
AUGGAGAGUUUGAUCCUGGCUCAGGAUGAACGCUGGCGGUAUGCCUGACACAUGCAAGUCGAACGAGAAAACUUUGUUUUCUAGUGGCGCACGGGUGAGUAACGCGUAAGAAUCUACCUUUAGGUAGAGGAUAACAAUUGGAAACGAUUGCUAAUACUCUAUAAGCUGAGAAGUGAAAUGAUAUAUUUAUAUAUAUUGCCUAGAGAUGAGCUUGCGUCUGAUUAGCCUGUUGGUAGGGUAAAAGCUUACCAAAGCUAUAAUCAGUAGCUGGUCUGAGAGGAUAGACAGCCACACCGGAACUUAGAUACGGUCCGGACUCCUACGGGAGGCAGCAGUGAGGAAUUUUCCGCAAUGGGCGAAAGCCUGACGGAGCAAUACCGCGUGGAGGAUGAAAGCCUAUGGGUUGUAAACUCCUUUUCUUAGAGAAGAAGUUCUGACGGUAUCUAAAGAAUAAGCAUCGGCUAACUCCGUGCCAGCAGCCGCGGUAAUACGGAGG